CGCGAUAUGGAUUGAAUCCAGCCCUUAACCAGGUUAGUCUCAUUAAGAUAAAAAAAUMUAUUUUUCUGAAAAUCCCUUAAAACAUGUGCAAUGGGAAUGUGUGGAGCCUACUGUAAGUAUCGAACAGUUUUUCACCACCAUGACGAAUAAGCCAAACCCCGAGAGGCAACCAAAAGAAGAAAAAAAGUCAGACAAAACCUCACAGACCCUUUAAAUGAGCCGUUCAAAAUUCUGAAAAGGACGUACCUUUUCAGGAAAAAAGAAAAAUAAGAAAAGAAACAAGAAACAGAAAAGUUAUCAGAGCCACUGUCUGUGUACCUCACAAUGGCUCUCGCUGAAGUUUGUGUCUCUUCUGAUCUUCUCCCAGCUGGACUUCUGAUUUCCACCCCGUCUCCUCUGAUCUGCCUGCAGACAUCCGACAGCCUUUUGCCAGCCUGUGAGCUGUCAAAGUACCCCUGGAAUCAAACGCCCAGCCAUCACAUCUCCAUGCUCUGGCAUGAUCAAAGAGGCACAGGCUGAGAUGACACGGCUCCUGGAGAACAGAGUCAAUGCAUCGAUCAGAAUCAAGGACAAGAGGUUGAUCAGUUUUGAAGAUAAGAGAGAUUAGUUAAUCUUGAUCUGACUGUCUCUAGGAAACUUUUGGACAAAAAGUUCAACACUUGUAGUGAGUUGUCUGAACACUGAAGAAUUUGAAUUUAAGAUGGAAUUUUCAUCACCUUCCGUCUAAAGUUCAUGUUUAAGUCAUUCAUUAAAUACAUAUAUAUAUA